AUCCUACGCCCAUCCUUUCUGUGCCAAAUGGAUAGAUAAAGAUGAUUGGUUGGCCAUUCAAAUUCAAAUGAAGUUUGAAUUUAAAUGGGCAACCAACCAACUCCAUGCACCCCCUCUUAUCUUGUGCGCCACUUUAUUUACACGAGAAAGAGUUUCUCGUGUAAACUCUCCAUGCACAAAUGAUGCCACACCCCUUCUCUUCUCAUGCCCAAGUGGAUAGGGAUGAGUUGGUUUGCAUUUGAAUUCAAAUUUGAUUUGAAUUCAAAUGUGCAACCACUUAUCUUUAUCCUCUCACGCGGAUAAGAGACGUCUUGUGUUGUUUUAAAAAGAGAAGAAAGGUGGGACGUGCGUAGAAAAUUUUUGAGAGAUAGCUUGGGG
rnacentral:lncRNA from 1 species